GUAAAUAAUGAUGUAUUUGCAUUCUUUUUCUAGUGAUCAAUGAAAUCUGGACGAGGUCCCAAGGAUGUAGGAAACGAACCCCGGUAACAAACUCAGUGUAUCUUUUACUUUUUGCUUUAUAUUUCUGACUUAUCCGCACUUACAGUAAGGUGUCCAAUACAAGCGGCCCUCGGUAAAAUCAUCCUGAUUCAGAUUCAUGUGAGUAUAUCAUAGCUCUGAGCCUCUGAAGUUUCAGUUUCUACUGAAUUACAACGCAUACAUUUCACAAAUACACUGGUUCUCAACUUGGGGUCCACAAUGCGUCACAAAAUACAAACUUGGUUCAGACCGCAUCAUGCCACAUUGAGAA
rnacentral:lncRNA from 1 species